CCCCCGAAGCAGGCCCGGAGCUGGGCUGUGGCGGCGGCGGAGGAGGAGGCAGU
rnacentral:miRNA from 1 species